rnacentral:rRNA from 1 species
UACGUAGGGGGCGAGCGUUGUCCGGAUUUAUUGGGCGUAAAGAGCUCGUAGGUGGUUUGUCGCGUUGUUCGUGAAAACUCACAGCUUAACUGUGGGCGUGCGGGCGAUACGGGCAGACUGGAGUACUGCAGGGGAGACUGGAAUUCCUGGUGUAGCAGUGAAAUGCGUAGAUAUCAGGAGGAACACCGAUGGCGAAGGCAGGUCUCUGGGCUGACACUGACGCUCAUGCACGAAAGCGUGGGGAGCAAACAGG